GUGCUUGCUUCGGCAGCACAUAUACUAAAAUUGGAACGAUAUAGAUAAGAUUAGCAUGGGCCCUUGCAUAAGGAAAACAACUCAGAGCUUUUAACUAAUUUC
rnacentral:snRNA from 1 species